rnacentral:rRNA from 1 species
GACGAACCGUGCGAACGUUGUUCGGAAUCACUGGGCUUAAAGGGCGCGUAGGCGGGCUGCCAAGUCUGGGGUGAAAUCCUCCGGCUCAACCGGAGAACGGCCUCGGAUACUGGCGGUCUCGAGGGAGGUGAGGGCGUGCGGAACUGAAGGGUGGAGCGGUGAAAUGCGUUGAUAUCCGUUAGGAACUCCGGUGGCGAAGGCGGCACGCUGGACCUCUUCGUGACGCUGAGGCGCGAAAGCCAGGGGAGCAAACGGG